UACGUAGGUCCCGAACGUUGCUCGAAAUUACUGGGCGUAAAGGGUCCGUAGGCGGUUUAGCAAGUGGGUGGUGAAAUUUCACGGCUCAACCGUGGAACUGCCUUUCAAACUGCUAAACUUGAGGCAGGGAGAGGGCGGCGGAAGUCCCGGUGUAGCGGUGAAAUGCGUAGAUAUCGGGAGGAACACCAGUGGCGAAGGCGGCCGACUGGGACUGUCCUGACGCUGAGGGACGAAAGCGAGGGGAGCAAACCGG
rnacentral:rRNA from 1 species